CUUAUUUCUUGCGGUCUUUGGGCUAGUUUCCAACUUGUCUGAGUGCGGCUGCUGCAAGGGAAGAUUGUGGAUCCAUGUGCAACGUUCUCCUAUUCUUUGUUGCUAAUGCAGUUUGUCUUUUCUCUUUCCUUUGUCAAAGUGAAAGCUUAUUUCAGGUUCCUCUGCUUCUAGCAUUGGCCUCAACUGAACAUGCUGGCAAAAUACCUGUAGUGGAAAUGCUAAGUCAGAGCUUGAACCAGUGAUUGAGCACCUGGUGGGAAGGCAGGGCCAACCCACGGGAGCUCAGGUGCAUGCAAUGUAACUGAGUGACCAGAAGGGAUGGAGCCAGGAUCCACCGCUUCCUAGACAUCACACAAGUGUUGGCAGUGGAGGCAAGCAAGGCCUUCUGAAGCAAGGGGAUGUUAUCCUGUGCUACCGUGACCACCAGCAUUUGGGGAGAUGGAAGCUGCAUUUAAGGAUUCUGCCAGGCAAAAGAGAGAAGUGACCCUGGACCCUUCAGUUCAUAGAGAGCUGGUUGGCACUUACUUUGGUUGGCCCAAAGGAAAUACAAUCAAGUGUGUGUGAAAGAGCAAGCACUGGGUCACAGCUCCGAGAGCAGCAGUAAGAAGCACUCUUUCUCUGCAAAGCAAGGGGCUUAUGGGCAAAAUACAGCCAUUCUCAGACAGCUCAAUGAAACACACACAACCUGAACAAAAACAGCAGCACCAUGACUUUUCCUUGUCACAGCUCAAAGGAGGAAGCAACUGCAUCUGCUACCCAGACUGCACGCUGCUAUUUCCAGGUGUGUUUUCCCCCUGCCAAACCUGCAGCAUAGGAAGCAAGCCCUGCCUGUUGCGUGGCUGGCUAAUCUCCUAUCACUCAUUCUUCCAUUCAGCAAUGUAGCAUUGUGUGUUCUGUGUUUGGUAUUGCUGAAAUAAAGAGCAUAACUCGAGACAGAGUACAUAUGCCUGAAGAUUUUCUAGAAAGCAUAAACCUGAAGAAGAGAACAAAUUUUGCAUUGUGACCUUUAUUUUGAACUUCUUUACUUUCUUGAAGUGUGGGACAGGGACUUGAUUUUGUCCAGGACAACAGCAAUAACUUUUUUUCUUAGAGACUGGCCCUAGUGCUGCAGAAUUUAGGCUUUUUAGUCCUUGAGUGAUGAAGACUUGAUGAAGUGCUGGG
ensembl:lncRNA